GAGGGGUGGCCGAGUGGCUGAAGGCGACGGUUUGCUAAACCGUUGUACGGUGUAAGCCGUACCGUGGGUUCGAAUCCCAUCCCCUCC
rnacentral:tRNA from 1 species